rnacentral:rRNA from 1 species
UAAUACGGAGGGUGCAAGCGUUGCUCGGAUUUACUGGGCGUAAAGCGACCGCAGGCGGUCGAUUAAGUCUGACGUGAAAGCCCCGGGCUCAACUCGGGAAGUGCGUCUGAAACUGGUCGACUUGAGUACGGGAGAGGAGAGUGGAAUUCCUGGUGUAGAGGUGAAAUUCGUAGAUAUCAGGAGGAACACCGGCGGCGAAGGCGGCUCUCUGGCCCGAUACUGACGCUCAUGGUCGAAAGCGUGGGGAGCAAACAGG